CUCAAAGCCACCCAUGAAAUGACCGUAAUAUCAAACACAGCCAAUUCCAUGGCUGUGUUUGAUGUGACUGGAACUUUUUCGCUAAAUGGUUGACGAACAGACAUGCUGUAAUCUUGGAAAGUCUUCAUUAACAGCUCCCUACAUUAGGUUAUGCACACUGAUCAAGUGAAAAAUAAUUUGCAAUUCUUUCCAGGGUUUUAAAUGUCUGGGUUUGCCGCUUCUCUGGUGUCUUGGUGUUAAAAUGGUUUUGAACGCUUUGGUUUAUACAGUGCCAACAGUCUGGACAUGUGGAGAUCUGUGCAUUUCUCACAGAUGAGGAGUGAGGGGCUGAAAAAGAGACCGGUUCACUGUGAGAUUCAUAGAGGCCUCUCAGGCAGCGUCCCGGCCCCGCGUCCCGCCUCUCAGGCUUCAUCCACCUGCUGUGUGGGAUAAAAAUAAAUCAUACAACUGCAUCCAAGACCCUGAACUCCAUUCAGUCAAAAACAAAAGAACAUCUUAAAUGGUCACAAAAAAAGGGGGGGUUGAUCUGAUACUUGCUUAAAAACUCUAGAAGAUCCUUUAGAAAAUGACCACUAUUGAUAAAGCAGCGCCGUGGUGGUUUGACUUUAAAAGCUGUUUCUCAGCACACGGCGGCUGUCACAGCAUUCUUAAAAAGGAGAAGAAGGAAAAAAA